AUUGCCUGUUCUUGUUAUCGUGGGUUAAGUCGUGGUAUCAGUACUGCAUCAAACAGAUUAUGAAGACACAAAAACUUCGUACCUUUAAAAUACCCUUAUUGAGGCACGGAGUCGACGUGCAUCUCAUCAUCAUGAAAUGUGACUGCGAAAGGUGUCCCACGGACCAAUAAGAACGACCGAAUUAAUGAACGCAGUCAGCCAUAACGGAGAUUUAAACAUAAUCUUAGCUUCAUUUGAAGGUAAUUUACCUAAACCAAAAGGAAAUAGAUAUUUUUAUCAAUGUAUUUGAAAAUUUAGUCUUUUGAAAAUUACGUUUCUUUUGCGGUUCAGUAUAUAUAUGCACUCAAUAAUUAUCUGUUGUACACAAAUUUCGUGCACCUCUUAAAUAAAUGAAAGUCACCAUCUUGGAUUAUAUGAAAAGAGUUGAUAAUUAUGUACACAAAACAAAAUGCAUAUCAGCACUGUAUGUUAGUAUAUAUAUGCUAGAAAGUUUGAAGGUUAUGAAUUGAAAAACUAUAUAAGAAAUGUGCAUUGUAAACACUGAACAUGCGUAAUAGAUAGGUUCGUAAUAAAAACAAUUCAUACUGACGUAGUAUAAUCACACAAGAAAUUCUUAAAAAAUAAUCCAAAUGUGUAAACAAUUUUUUCUGAAUAAAUAAACAUUGAUCAAAUCUUUCAAGUUUUUGGGGUUGACCAUGUUUAAGGGAGUUGAUAAAACUACACUGUAGCAUCUUUGCAUUCAGACUGACCAUCACAAAUUGGUCUGAUACACAACUUUGACUGUUCUUCUUAAAAUGUAGCCUCUGAAAGGUUGUGUUAUGCUGUUAUGGCAUGGGAUCGGUUUUUGUGUGACAUCAGGGGGGAGCUUAGGUAAUUUUUCAGCAAAUGUUUCAAAAUUUAGCUCAAAUUUAGCACAAUUUUGUACAAUUUUUAGGCAGUUAAGCUGCCUUAUGCGAGCAC
rnacentral:lncRNA from 1 species